rnacentral:rRNA from 1 species
CGGGUAGCGGAACACGUACACAACCUUCCCAAACAGGUGAAUAGCCCUCCGAAAGGAGGAUUAAUACACCGUACCAUAACGAGGUGGCAUCACCUUGUUAUUAUAGGCAGCAAUGUCGGUUUUGGAUGGGCGUGCGCCUGAUUAGGUAGUUGGCGGGGUAACGGCCCACCAAGCCUCCGAUCAGUAACUGGUGUGAGAGCACGACCAGUCACACGGGCACUGAGACACGGGCCCG